UAUUUUCUCUCGUGUCUUCUCACAAGUUGGAAGCUAAUGGUAUGUGUUUCAGUUUGAUCUUGUCUCUAUAAUUUUUUUUUGUAUGCGGUAGUCGGAUUAACGGCUAUAGUUUUCCUUUUGUGUCUUGUAGCCACUUUCUUUCAUCUGUUAUGGGCAAAGAAAAUUGUCAAUUUCUUCUAGUGUCUGAAGCUAUGUGUUGAUAAUAUAACAUUGUCAUUCUUUGGACUAAACCCCUUAAAUUUUCCUCAAACUAAAAAGUAUCAGUCUGGGAUUUUAUGCUGUAGGAUUUGAAUUACAGUCCAGUUUCAUCCAAGAGAACAUGUUCGGAAGUGAUUCAUGUGCAUGUUCUGUUGAUGCAGAUUUAGUUGUCGCUACAUAUUUCUGAGAUGAUAGGCUCUAUAACAAGCCAGAAAAUUUCAUCUGGAGAAGAUGAUCUCUUAAAUUUGUUUCAGUUUAGGUGGAUCCUAAUGGUCUUACAUCAAAUUUUGGACUUUAAAGCAAACGCCAUGCAUAGUCUGUUUGAUCAGUAGUCAUUCAGUGUCUUCAAUACUUUUAGCUCAUAGAAUUUUCAGUUUGUCAUGGGAUAAGCUGUUGAAUAGUUCAAAUAGUGUGUUUGUCUUUCUUUUUCUUUUUUCCUUUUUUUUGUACAAUUGAUAUUAGGUUGCAUCUGCACUUUUCUGUGGUUGAUAUACCAGUUGCAUAUCUUAUUUACAUUUACUCUCUCUCCUUUUCAUCUGUAGCCCCCCUUCCCUUUUACCAACUCUUUGCUUAUCACUCUUCCCAAUAGUAACUCUACUUGUUUUUUGUCCAGCUUAAUCAGUUUACCAUUUCAGCUGGAGUACGUCGUAUCAAAUCUUGGUAUUCUCAUGCACAAGGGCAAGAGAAAUAUAUUUGCGAUAAAGUUUACUUCACUACAACAUUACACAUCUAUAGCUAUGAAAAAUAUUGUAGCUAAAUAUGAAAAUUUUCGUGCCAAAACACUUUAGCCACAAUAUUUUUUUCCGUAGCAUUCGUAGCAAAAUGUAACGUAGCUAAAAGUUAGCUACAAACUUUACAUGGUCUGUGACUAAGGAAUAAUACUUAUUGCUACAGAAAUUUUGUGUGUUGUAGCUAUGAUUGUAGAAGCUUUUUGCUACGAAAAAUAUACUUAUAGCAAAUGAUUUUAUUCCUUUGCCACGACAAAGAAAAUUUGUAGCAAUCUUCAUAUUGUAGCUACGAAAUUUUGUAUCGUAGCAAAAAGACUAAAUUUAUUUGCUAUGCAAACUCAAAUUUUGUGGCUAUUUCUAUAGCCUAGUCUCGUGGCAAUAGUACUCAUCUUUAGCUACAACUUAAAAAUUCC
rnacentral:lncRNA from 1 species